rnacentral:rRNA from 1 species
AGAACGAACGCUGGCGGCAGGCUUAACACAUGCAAGUCGAACGGCUGUAGCAAUACAGCAGUGGCAGACGGGUGAGUAACACGUGGGAACCUUCCUAGGGGUACGGAACAACUCAGGGAAACUUGAGCUAAUACCGUAUACGUCCGUGAGGAGAAAGUUUUAACGCCCCUAGACGGGCCCGCGUAGGAUUAGGUAGUUGGUGAGGUAACGGCUCACCAAGCCUACGAUCCUUAGCUGAUCUGAGAGGAUGAUCAGCCACACUGGGACUGAGACACGGCCCAGACUCCUACGGGAGGCAGCAGUGGGGAAUUUUGGACAAUGGGGGCAACCCUGAUCCAGCCAUGCCGCGUGCGGGAAGAAGGCCUUCGGUUGUAAACCGCUUUAGUCGGGAAGAAAGAUCACGGAUAACACCGUGGUUCUUGACGGUACCGGCGGAAUAAGCACCGGCUAACUACGUGCCAGCAGCCGC